GUGGUGUUGGUGUACAACUUUAAUCCCAGCACUGGGGAAGCAGAAGCAAGUAGAUUUCUGAAUUCAAGGCCAGCCUGGUCUACAGAGCAAGUUCCAGGACAGCCGGUGCUACACUGUCUUGAAUAAACCCAAAGAAGAAGGAUGAGGAGGAGAAAAAGAAGGGGAAGAAGAAGGAAAAGAAGAGGAAGAGGAAAGGGAGGAAGAAGAACAAGUAGUAGUAGUCGUAGUUGUAGACAAAGUAGUAUUUGGCAACCCCCAAAGCCAUGUUGUUGGGCUCUAAACAGUAAGACACAGAGAGAGGUAACUGCAGUGACCUAACAAUUGAUGGUGACAUCUCAGUCUUGAGGACAGUUCUGGUAUGCUGGUAGAGGGGACUCUGUUGUCAUGGCCACAGCUAGGUAAAAUGUGAUGGUUAGUGUUGACAGGGCCUAGAUUCACUAGGGAGAUGGGCCUCUGUGUGUGCCUGUCCCUGAUUGCAUUAAUUCAUGUGUGAAGACCCAUUUUGACUCUAGGUGUGACUACGACCUGGGCAUUGUGGACUGCAUAAAUGAAGAUAGAAUGGUAAGCAGCUGUUGCGGAUGAGACUGAGACAAUGUUGCAGCGUGAAUUGCUACUCCUUAGGAUGCUGUGUGAGAGGGCAGAUCUGAAGACUCCGGCCUUUCCUGUGAUUAUUACACCCAAUGUGCAGUACCCAGGAGGUAAGAGAUGGCUGGAGAGAUGGCUCAGCGGUUAAGAGCACCGACUGCACAUCCAGAGGUCCUGAGUUCAAAUCCCAGCAACCACAUGGUGGCUCACAACCAUCUGUAAUGAGAUCCGAUGCCCUCUUCUGAUGUGUCUGAGGACAGCUACAGUGUUCUCAUACAUACUAAACAAAUAAAUCUUUAAAAAAAUAUGAAAGUAUUACUUCUAAGAAAAUAAAUAUUCUGGGGGUUGGGGAUUUAGCUCAGCGGUAGAGCGCUUGCCUAGCAAGCGCAAGGCCCUGGGUUCAGUCCCCAGCUCAGAAAAAAAAAAGAAAAGAAAAAAAAAAGAAAAAUAUUCUGGGUGUGGUGACACACAACUUUAAUUCAACAUUUGGGAGGCAGACUUAGAGGCCAGCCUGGUCUAUAGAAUGAAUUCCAGGGUAGCCAGGGCUACUCAGAGAAAUCCAGUCUAGAAAAAAACAGCAACAACAAAAGAGAAUAUCUUCUGCCACAUAUCACAAGGAAGUUCCGUACUCGCCUUAGCUUUGUUAUGUUUUAUAUCACAUUUGUUUGUUGGUUGGGUUGGCUGAGUUUUUUUUGUUUGUUUGUUUGUUUGUUUUUGUUUUGUUUUUUGGCAGGGUCUCAUGAUGUAGCCUUAGCUGGCCCUGAGCUCAUAGAGAUCAAGCUGUUUCUCUGCUUUCCCAGUGGUAGGACUAAAAGCAUAUGCCACCAUGCCUGGCUUGCUUACCUGUGGCUCUUUUGUGACAGGGUUUCUUUAUGUAGUCCUGGCUGUCCUGAAACUGGCUGUAUACACAGGCUGGCCCCAAACUCACAGAGAUUGUCUUAUCUGUGCCUUCCAAGUGUUGGGAUUAUGCCCAACUAUAGCUUUCUUUUUAAUAUUUUUAAGUCUAUGUGUUUGUUGCACAGUGGUUGACGGUGUGGCAGAAAGGUUAGCUACCAAUUCAAGAGAAAAGCUCCUGGAGUUACUACAGAGCCGUUCCAGGUACAAGCAUGUGGGUGUGAGCCUGGACAUAGCCCUCUGAAGUUGGUGUUGCCGUCAAAGCUUGGCCUUCUGGUGUCUCCCAGGCUUGGGCUUCAAUUGUGAGCAGGGUAAAAAGCUGCCCUGAAAAGGCAGCAGCCCAGCGAUGAUGCUUCUGAUGGCCUCACCGUCUGCUCUCUGGCCCUGUGGCAUCCACAAACAUUUGAAGAUGUCUUACAAGCUCCCAGGGGAUGCCUGCCUGGUUCAGGCAUCACAACAGGGUGCCAUUACUUCAGUGAUCCAAUUGAGAGAGCACCACCUUCCAACUUCUUCUUGAAACCUGAGGGUCUGCUUAGAUACACAGCAGGGAUCAACUGACAGCACCUAAACUUCUGGAGAUGACACUGAGCCGUAAAGACCUGGGCACGGCAUCUCCUGUCACUGACUAGUGCCGCUUCCAAAAGGCACCACAUUGCUACAGGGGCAAGGCUGCCUGUGGUCAGUCAUCUUUGAGUAUGGGGUCAUACUAUGGAGCCCAGGGCUAGCCUGGAACUCAGUCUGGGAACAGGCUGGCAUCAAACUCACAGAGAUCUACCUGCCUCUGACUCCCCAGUACUGAGGUUAGAAUGUGUGAUCAUGUCUGGAAGGCUUGGUUGGUUUUUUUUGAGACAGGGUUUCUUUGUGUAGCCCUCACUGUCCUGGAACUAGCUUGGUAAACCAUGAUGGGCAAACCCUCAGAGAUCUGCCUGGUUCUGCCUCCCGAGUGCUGGAAUAGGCAGUGUGUACUUCACCACUGCCGGACUCCAUUUUCUUUUUUUUUUUUUUAAGAUUUAUUUAUUUAUUAUAUAUAACUACACUGUAGCUGUCUUCAGACACACCAGAAGAGGGCAUCAGAUCUCUUUACAGAUGGUUGUGAGCCACCAUGUGGUUGCUGGGAAUUGAACUCAUGACCUCUGGAAGAGCAGUCGGGUGCUCUUAACCGCUGAGCCAUCUCUCCAGCCCCUGACUCCAUUUUCUUUUUAAGAUUUAUUAUAUUUGGGGCUAGAAAAAUGACCCAGGGGUUGUCUUAGUUCCUGUUCUGCUGCUGCUGUGAAGAGACACCAUGACCCCACAACUCUUAUAAAGAAAGCAUUUAAUUGGGACUGACUUACCAUUUUAAAGAUUUAGUCCCUCCUCAUGGCUGGAAGCAUGGUGGCCUGUAGGCAGACACAGUGCUAGAGGAAUAGCCUGAGAGUUCUCCGCCUGGAUCCACAGACAGCAGGAAGAGACCUGGACCUACCGUAAGUAAGAAACUCCAAAGCUCACCCUCAAUGACAUAUUACUUACUCCAGUAAGGCCGUACCUCCUCCAACAAGGUCACAGCAAGGUCAUACCUAACAUUGUCAAGUAGUGUCACUCCCUAAUGACCAAGCAUUCGAAUACAUGAGCCAGUGGAGGCCAUUCCUGUUCGAAGGACCAGUUGAGGUUAACAACAAUCGCUGCUUUUUCAGAAGACCUGACUUCAGUGCCCAGCAUCACAUGGUAACUCACAACUGUCUGUAACUCAUGUUCUAGGGGUUCUUUUUUUUUUUUUUUUCGGAGCUGGGGACCGAACCCAGGGCCUUGCGCUUCCUAGGUAAGCGCUCUACCACUGAGCUAAAUCCCCAGCCCCCGUUCUAGGGGUUCUGUUGCUUUCUUCUGGCCACUGUUCACCCUAGUCAUUCAAGGAUACAUUUUAUGUAUAUGCAAUAUAUAUAUAUAUAUAUAUGGUGAAGUAUUAAUAUACAUAAAAAAUCUCUUAACAAAAUAUUUUAUUUUGCUUAUGUGUGUAUAGGUAUGUGUGUGUGCCAGCUCCCAGAGGUCAGAAAGCAUAUAAGUGAGUCACAGGUGCAUGGAAGCUGCCUGCCACAUGUGAGUUCUGGAGUCUGGUCCACUGGUAGAUCAGUAAUUCCCUUAACUACCGUGCCAUCUUUCUAGUCAUCUCCAUGUUAAAAAUCAUUUAUGUAUGUAUGUAUGUAUGUAUGUAUGUGUCUGCCUGUCUGUCUGUAUAUGUAUGUGUGUAUGUAUGUGUGUAUGUGUAUGUCUGUCUGUCUGUAUAUGCAUGUGUGUAUGUAUGUGUGUAUGUAUGUAUGCAUGUAUGUAUGCAUGUGUGUAUGUAUGUUGUAUGUAUGCAUGUGUGUAUGUAUGUGUGUGUAUGUAUGUAUGCAUGUGUGUGUGCAUGUGUGUGUAUGUGUGUAUGUCUGUCUGUCUGUAUAUGUAUGUGUGUAUGCAUGUGUGUAUGUGUAUGUGUCUGUCUGUCUGUCUGUGUGUAUGUAUGUAUAUAUGUAUGUAUGCAUGUGUGUAUGUAUGUGUGUAUGUAUGUAUGUAUGUAUGCAUGUGUGUAUGUAUGUGUGAAUGUCUGUCUGUCUGUAUAUGUAUGUGUGUAUGCAUGUAUGUAUGUGUAUGUGUGUGUGUGUCUGUCUGUGUAUAUGUAUGUAUAUAUGUAUGUAUGAGCAGUCCUGAGCCUGUUCCCCCUCCCAUCCUGGGUCCUAAGGCUUGAUUCCAGGUCCUAGCGUCAGGCACCUUCAUCCACUGAGCUAUCUCAUUGGUCCUCUUUUGAAAAGGGUUUUCUACAUUUCUCUUCCUCCAACAAGGCCGCACCUCCUAAUCAAUGACCAAGUAGUAACGACCAAGCAGUCAAAUAUGGAGGCCACUCCUAUUCAAACCAUCAUAGAGACUGAACAUAGAGGUUGCAAAGGUUUUUUUGUUUUCUGUUUUUGUUUUUUAACAGCCUGUGAUGCACACUCGGGAGGCAGAGGCAGGCAGAUCUGUGAGUUUGAAGCCAGCAUGGCCUACAGAGCAAGUUCCAGGACAGCCAGGACUAGGCGGAAAAAUCCUGUCUCGGCAAACAAGCAAAACAAAACAAAACAAAACAAAACAAAACAAAAACAAGACAAACUGAAAACCCCUUUCUCACAUUUAUUCAUUGGGGGAAGGGCAGCCAUGCCCCAGUGGGAAUGUCAGAGGACUCUGAAGAGUCAGUUCUCUCCCUUUAUCGUGUGCAUCCCGGUUACUGACCAGUUAAACCGAAUCCUCAGACUUGGUGUGCACAGUCUCGCUUGCUGUUCUUUAUGGUAAAGCUGUGCUACUCCUCCUCUCCUUCUCCUCUUCUUCCUUUUUUCUUCCUUCUUGUUUAGUUUUUGUUUUUUGGGACAGAGACAGAGUUUAUCUGUGUACUCCUGUCUGUCCUAGAACUCUGUAGACCAGGCUGGUCUCAAAUUCAUGAAAUCUCCCUGCCUCUACCUCCUGAGUGCUGAGAUUGAAGGCAUGGCCACCACUGCCUGCUAUGCAGGAGCUUUUCAACUGAUUUCCCCCCCUAGAGACAGAGUCUCACUCCACAGUACAAGCUGCCCUAGAACUCACUAUAAAGUACAGACUCCUUUCAAAUUUACCACAGUCCUGCUGGGGCUGCCUCGCACUGACUGGAAUCACAGGCAUGCAGCACCACGCCCAGCUAGUCUUGUCCCUUUCGGUUUUUGUCUCCACAUUAUACCUGGUUUCUUCCUCUGCUUCUUCUAAACAGGCUCAUGUCUACUUCCGGCUCACAGAACUUCUUUCAGUUCCUCAAAUGGACUUUGGUCAGUUCCCUCCAAAAAUGUUGUUUCCUCUACUGGAGCUUCGGAGCUUCUCUCCCUUUAAAACCACUUCCACUGAUUGAUUCUCUCCUCUCUCUCUCUCUCUCUCUCUCUCUCUCUCUCUCUCUCUCUGGUCUCUCUCUCUCUCUCCUUCUCCCUCUUUCUCUCCCUCUCCCCCUCCCCUCUUCCUCCCUCUUUGUUCCUCUCCCUCUCUGUCUUUCCCUCCCCCUCCUCCUCUCCCUGUCCCUCUCUCCUCUCUCCCUCCCCUCUGCUCCCAAGACCACUCCAAGUAAAUCUUAGGCCUCCUGCCCACCUAUAAGACCACUGGCCAUCCCUGCUACCUGUGUCUUUGUGUGUCUAGUCAUAGAGCUUAUUACACGUAGCCACUUUGCUGGGUUCAGUGUGUGGUGCCGUACAUACAUGAUUUCGGUUUAGUUCAGCACUGCACCUUCAGACCUUAGCCCUGGCCUGGCCUAUAACAAGAAUUCAACCAGGUGGUGGUGGUGGCGCAUGCCUUCAAACCCAGCAACUGAGAGGCACAAGCAGGCUGAUCUAGGCCAGCCUGGUCUACAGAGCAAGUUCCAGGACAGUCAGAAGGACACCGAGGGACCCUGUCUUCAACCCCCGCCUCCAAAAUAAAAAAAUAAAAAUAAAGAAUUCAAUAAUUCGGGGUUGAGGAUUUAGCUCAGUGGUAGAGCGACCGCUUGCCUAGCAAGCGCAAGGCCCUGGGUUCGGUCCCCAGCUCCAAAAAAAAGAAAAGAAAAAAAAAGAAUUCAAUAAUUCAUUUUAUUUUCUGUGUAUGAAUAUUUUGCCUAUGUGGUGGCUGUGCAGCCUAUGUGUAUCUGGUGCCUAAGGAAGUUAAGACGAGGGUGUUGGGGCUCACUGGCACUGGUGGUAGUAGGCACGGCUGUGAGCAAUGUGGGUGCUGGUAUCUGAGCCUGGGUCCUCUGCAAAAGCACCCAGUGUACCUAACUGCUGAGCCAUCUCUCCAGCCCCAGGAUUCUUCUUCUGCCGGUGUGUUUUCUCUUUUUGUGGUGCUGGGGAUUGAACCUAAGAUCUUGUACAUACUGGCCAACACCGCCCAGUUGUAUUACCAGUACAGUUCUUUCCCAUAUCAUAUAUCUUGGGAGUCUUUUCUUUCUUUCUUUUUUUUUUUUUUUGGUUCUUUUUUUCGGAGUUGGGAAUCGAACCCAGGGCCUUGCGCUUCCUAGGCAAGCGCUCUACCACUGAGCUAAAUCCCCAACCCCAAGUCUUUUCUUAUGUAGUUCAUUUGUAUGUCACAAUAAAGCUACUAGUGGGGACAGGUGGACCUUUGUGUUACCUAGCCGACCAGUCUGACCAAUCAGUGUGUUCCAGGCCAGGAAGACUCCCUGUCUGCUACAAGAAGGCAGAGGAAGACACCUGACGUAGUCCUCUGGCUUUCAGCGUGAGCAAGCAUAAGCAAGCAUUCUUGCACGCAUUCGUGCACAUAAACACGUUCACUGUGACCGCCCUGCAAGCCAAGCAACUGCCAUUUUGGAGAAGUCAGCUUCACCCACUGGGAAAAGAUCCAGCUGGGCCUGGUAGUGGUUUACACCCCCGGGGAGGGAGAGGAGGUUGUGAGACCCUCACCGGAGUGUCCAGCUCCUUCUUACCACGUGGUGCCUUAACUGAACUGGGCAUCAGGGUAGGGCUAGAGUAUGUGGUCCAGGGAAGACUAAAGAAAAUUUCAUCUACUAGGUUAAGAAAAAACCCUCGUCCUUGCUAGGUAAUGACUUUUCAGGUACAGCCUGUUGGGAGAAAGGCAAUGAUGCUCCUGGAAGUAAUCUCUCUGUCAGGGAGCCCAAUAAACUCACUGGCUUUCCAGAAUGAACUUUGGUUGAAUUGUGCCUUGGUUUUUCAUUUGGGCCAAAGGAGAAGGGGUAGUUGUUAGUUGUUUCUUCAUUGCUAUGUCUCCCCAUGAGAAGGAAUGUCAGUAACGCACGCACGCGCGCGCGCGCGCGCACACACACACACACACACACACACACACACACAAAAGCAAUAAUAAACUAAUCUAUUGGUUUUGUUUCUGUAAGUUUUUGUUUUGGGUUUUGUUUUUCAAGCCCUGGCUGUCCUAGAACUCACUCUGGAGACCAGAAUAGCCUUGAACUCGGAGAUCUGCCUCUGCCUGAUACCACCACUGCCAGGCAGAUUUUUUUUUUUAAAUGUGUUUGGAUGUUUUACUUGUAUGUCCAUUUGCACACCAUGCGCAUGUGGGAUGUUCAUGGAGACCAAAAGAAGGCAUCAAAUCCCCCCAAACUACGGCUGUGAACAAUUAUGAGCCACCAUAUAGGUGCUGGGAAUGGAACCUGAGUCCUCUGGAAGAGCAGCUAGUACUUUUAAAUGCAAGUCUGAUGAACUGAUUUCAAGCCCCGUAGACCCCUGUGGGGAGAGAGGACCAACUCUUGUUCGUUCCGUCUGUGUAGUCUUGGCUGUUCUGCAGCACCAUGCCUGGUGUGGGGAGCCAACUCUUAAACGUUGUCUUCCGACCCCCACACACAUGUUGUAGUAUGUGCUGUCCCACACUCAGACAUAUCAAUAACUUUUUUUUUUUUCAGAGCUGAGGACCGAACCCAGGGCCUUGCACUUGCUAGGCAAGCGCUCUACCACUGAGCUAAAUCCCCAACCCCAAUAACAUUUUUUUUAAACAAAUAAUUUGUUGUUGUUGCUGUUUUGUUGUAUUUGUCUGUUUUUAUUUCUUUUUCUGUGUAGCCCUGACAAUCCUGGAGCUCUUAUAGACCCAGUUGGUCUUGAACUUAGAAAUCCACCAACCUUUCCUGUCUAAGUGCUGGUAUUCAACAAGUGGGCUAUCACUUCCCAGUUACAAAUGAUUUUUAAAGGGAUGAGUAAAAACCUUCUCCUUGGUACUCCAAAGAACACUAAACUUAGCCAUGUGUGAUGCAUGGCUUUAGUCACAGCACUAAGGAGACAGUCAUGUGUAUCUCCACAGGUUCAAAACCAACCUAGUCUACAUAACAAGUUCCAGGCCAGUCAGGGCUACAUGGUAAGAACUUCAUAAAACACACAAACAAACAAACAAAAAGAAUAUUAAUCUGCAUUUAACCAGUACUUGGUCAUUGAACACUUAAAUUGUUAUUCAGUCCUUGCUGGCCUGGCUGGUCUGGAACUUACUAUAUGUGUCAUUUUGGCCUUGAAUUCAGAGAUCCCCCUUCCUCUGCCUCCCAGAUUCUUGGUUUAAAAGCAUGUGCGACCACACCAAGGACACGGUCCCUUGGAUCAUUCCUAAACCUGUCCUCUUAUGCUGCAACAGUUUGGAUAAGAAACACAUUCAUUAAGCACUUGUUUUUCUAAUGCCAGGUUUCGAGAACUCAUAAUUAGAUAUUACAUAUUGGGAGAUAAUGAAAGGUGGGUGGCUAGAGGAAGUCAAUUCCUUAGAGAAUGCUUUUGAAGCUUCCAAUUUAUUAAAAUUCUCCCUUUUCUCUCCGAUUCCUGGCUGGGCAGCGGCGCUCAGGAUGCAGAGGUAGGCAGAGCUCUUGGAGUUUGAUUGACAAACCGGUCUACAGAGUGAGUUCCAGGCUAGCCAGGGCCACACAGAGAAACCCUGUCUCAAACAAAAACAACAAACAAGAAACCCCCCCUUCAAAAAAAAAGAAACAAGGGGCUGGAGAGAUGGCUCAGUGGUUAAGAGCACCGACUGCUCUUCCUGAGGUCCUGAGUUCAAAUCCCAGCAACCACAUGGUGGCUCACAACCAUCUGUAAUGAGAUCUGAUGCCCUCUUCUGGUGUGUCUGAAGGCAGCUACAGUGUACUCAUACAAUAAAAUAAAAAUCUUAAAAAAUAAAUUAAAAAAAAAAAAGAAACAGAACAAAACAAAUGCUGGGACUGAGGCUGGGACCAGCCACAGAGCACUUGCCCGGAACUUCAAGAUCCCAGGUUGUUUGGGAAGCGCUAACACCUACAAUCCCAGGAGAGAGAGAUUCAGGAAGGAGGUUUGGAAGUUCAAGGUCAUCCUUGGUAUAUAUCAAGUUAGAGGCUAAAAUUAAGAAAUUUGACAACACCAGGCUGGGCACAGGAUAUCACCUGCUUUUAUUUCCAGCCCUGGGAGAAAGAGGCAGAUCAUCUCUGUGAGUUUGUGGCCAGUCUGGCCUAUAUGGUGAGUUCUAGGACAGCCAGGGCUACAUAUUGCAGUCAGGGAUCAAGGGAUCUUCUGUUAAACAAACAAACAAACAAACACACACAUAAAAUAAAAACCCUAGACAAACUAGUAACAACAAUGAAAACUAAAAACUCUGGAGUGGUUAAAAUUAAGGAAUUUGGCAAUACCAGGCUGAAUGCGAUGUCAUGCAUCUUUGAUCCCAGCACUCCCAAGAAAGAGGCAAAUCGAUCUGAGUUUGAGGACAGCCUAUAUAGUCUAUAAGUGAGGUCCAGGAUAGCCCAUAAUGGAGACCCUAUCUCAAGAGAAAAAAAAAAAGGAAAGAAAGGAAGAAAGGAAGAAAAAACUUGACAUUAGCAACUCAUGGGCCAUUUUCUGUGGCUUAAAUUCAUAAAUACUCAGAAGUUUGAUAUUAUCUAGAGAAACAAAAGAUAGUGGUUAUCCUGUAGCUGACCAAUUCCGCCCCUAACAUGCAUGAUCCUUAAGUCACGCAAAUGUGUAUUCAAAGUUAUACGAUCUCGGGGCUGGGGAUUUAGCUCAGUGGUAGAGCGCUUACCUAGGAAGCGCAAGGCCCUGGGUUCGGUCCCCAGCUCCGAAAAAAAAAAAAAGAACCAAAGUUAUACGAUCUCUAACUCAACAGAAAAGGGAAGACAUUUUGUUAACUUUUUUUUUUUUUUUUUUUUUGAUACUGGGGAUGGAACCUUGGGCCAGGGUAUCAUGCAUGCCAAGUCUUUGCUGUCCAGCUGCUUGGCUUCCCCUAGAGUUAUAAGGAAGGUGUCAGCUGGCUCUGUUUGUGUGUGCAUGGGUGGGAACAACUGAGCCUGUACUGCACUGGGGUGUAUGAGUAACAGUGCUUGCGUAGCUUAGCCUAGAGUGGAAAGAUUGGAGGAUAGCCUCAGCUAUCUGUCUUCCUUUCUACUUGCUUGAGGCAGAAUCUCUUCGUUGUUUCCAGCUAUGUAGCCCUUGCUCCCAGUUUUUUGUUUGUUGUUGUCUUAGAGAUUUAUUUAUUUAACGUAUAGGUGUUCCAUCUGGAUGUUUGUCUGCACGCCGGAAGAAGGAACCGCAUCCCAUGGGAUAUAUAAGUUCAUCUACAACUACAGUUGGAGAUGAUUGUCAGCUGGUGUGUGGUUGCUGGGAAUUGAACUCAGGACCUCUAGAAGAGCAACCAGUGCUCUUAACCGCUGAGCCAUCUCUUCAGUCCAUUUGUUGUUGUUGCUGUUGUUUUUUAAGAUUUGUUUUAUUUCUAUUUAUGUAUGGCUGUCUAUCUUGUCUGUCUGUGUGAGUAUAAUGUGGGGGGGGGCUUGGGGGGUGGUCCAUGCAGAGGCUAGAAGAGGGCUGUAAUUUUGUCCAAGGCCUAAUAUGGCUCCUGGGAAAGUCAAGUCUUAAUCACUGAGCCAACUCUCCAGCUACCUGUAUGGUGUUUUUUUGAGACAGGCCCUUGUGAAUUAAUUCCAAGGUGGACUGUAUUUAGUAGGGAGGUCAUGGUGCCACUAUGACACAGUUACUGUCCUGUUCGGUAAGUACAAACUGAGCUCAAUUCAGAGCCCUAAGACAGGAUAGGAUCCUGUUUUGUAUCCCAGGCUAACCCAGGUCUACCUGGUCUGGGCUAGCCUCAAACUUACAUUAAACCUCCAAGCUCAGCCUCAUCUAUAAUUUCAAAGUGUUGGAGUUACAGAUGUGUACCCUAUGCCUGACCCAUCCGAUUGUCUAAAGCUGAACUGGAACAAAACACGGUUGAACCGAGGAUCAAUAGUGGGUGGCACACUCAUGCCUUUAAAGCCAGCACUCUGGAGGCAGAGGCAGGCACAGUCCACCCAUGCUCUACACAGUGGGUUUCAUCUACCAAAGAUGCAUCAUGAGACCCUGUCUUAAAAGUAAAUUGGGGGGUUGGGGAUUUAGCUCAGUGGUAGAGCGCUUGCCUAGGAAGCGCAAGGCCCUGGGUUCAAUCCCCAGCUCCGAAAAAAAGAACCAAAAAAAAAAAAAAAAAAAAAAGAAUCAGUGUGUUCUUCCAGAGAGCUGGUGUUCCUUUCCUAGCAACCAUAUUUGGCGACUCAUAAAGGCUAUAACUCCAGCUCCAGGAGAUCUGAUACUUCUGGCCUUUGUCUUUUUUUUUUUUUUCUGGAGCUGAAGACCGAACCCAGGGCCUUGCCCUUGCUAGGAAAGCGCUCUACCACUGAGCUAAAUCCCCAGCCCCUACUUCUGGCCUUUGUGUGUACCUGUAUUCAUAAGCACACACAAAAAUAGGAACACACACUCACCUAAAAAGAAAUCUUCCUGAAGCCUGGUCAUAGUAGUGUACACCAUACCUUUAAUCCUAGCCCUCAGGAGGCAGAGGCAGGUGGAUCUUUUGAGUUCCAGGCCAGCCUGGUUUACAGAGUGAUCUCCAGGACAGCCAGGGUCAUAUAGAGAAACCCUAAGCCGAAAACCAAACCAAACCAAACCAAACCAACCAAACAAAAAAGGAUGGGAAUGUUGAUCCAUACUUGAUUUGAAAUCGCUUUCUGUUUUAAAUAUGUUACAUUCAGUCAUUUAUGUUUGUGUGUCUGUCUAUGUGUGCGCCUAGUGGGUGUGCAUUUGUGUAAGUCAGCAGACGACUUGUAGGAGUCAGUUCUCUCCUCCCAUCUGGGUCAUAGGAACUAAGAUGAUAAGGCUUGAGCCAUCUCAACACUCUCUCUCUCUCUCUCUCUCUCUCUCUCUCUCUCUCUCUCUCUCUCUCUGUCUAUCUCUGUCUCUGUCUCUGUCUCUCUCCAGACUUUUGCUCAGUGGCCCAGGCUGGUCUAGAACUGUGUACCCCAGGCUUGACUGGAACUAAUAUUCCUGCCUUGGCCUCCUGAUAUAUGCUGAGAUGAGUCAAGAAAGUAGUUUAAAGGAUAAACCUGGGCUGGAGAGAUGGCUCAGUGGUUAAGGGUUAAGAACACUGACUGUUCUUCCAGAGGUUCUGAGUUCAAUUCCCAGCAGCCACAUGGUGGCUCACACCCAUCUGUAAUGUGAUCCCAUGCACUCUUCUGGUGUAGCUGGAGACAGCUACAGUGUACUCAUAUAAAUAAAAAUAAAUACAUCUUUAAAAAAAACUAAAAAGGAUAAACCUUCAGUGAAGUGAGCCUUGUGAUUAGGAGAAUAAGUAGAGAGGUUCCUUUUGUGUCACCUAGACUUGUACCUGAUGUCACAUGGCCUGGGGUGUUUGUCACAUUGAAAGAGUGGAUCCAGGCAGCCUUGUUGUCCUGCUUGCCUCUAGUGACUCUUAGGCCAUACAUUUAGCCCCCUAAUCACAGCACCAAUGCCCUUGGUUCAGACUAAACACCUUUGCCUACAUGGAUACAAAGAGAUAUCGGAUUAUAUCACAUGAGUUUUUCCCAGUUUUAAAUCAAAUUUAAUUUAAAAACUAUUUAUUUAGUUUUGUCUUAUUUUUCAGGACAGGGUUUCUCUGUGUAGCCUUGGUUGUUCUGGAACUCCCUGUGUAGACCAGGCCAGCCUUGAACUCACAGGGGUCCACUUUACCUCUGCCUCUCAAGUGCUGGGAUUAAAGGUCUGUGCCUCCACCAACACCUGGCAAAACUGUAUUUAUUUUAAAUUACAUGUAUGUGUGUCUGUGUGAGUAUGUGCACAUAACUGCAGGUCCCUGGGGAGUUCAGAGGCAUAAAAUCCCCCUGGAGUUGGUGUUAUAUGUCGUCCAAUACCAGAAUUUCCAGGCCAGUGGCCUCAGUAUAUUGUCUUAUCGUUUGCUUCGGUUGUAGCUGGUAUAUUGUGCUCAGACUUCUGUCCCGUGGUUGAAUUAUAUUGGAUAUCCAGGAAUUAUGUCGCCAUGUCCAACUCGGAGCUCCUCUGAACUGAGGGAGCACAUUGUUUCCACAAUGGACCCAAUAAAGCCAGUAUUCUAUCAACCAUCCUAUGGUAUCACUCCUCAUUUGUGACUGUGUCUCUCUCUAAAUAACCAGCAGAGGAAGACAGAAAACAUAUGAUCUUUAUUAACUUUGAAUCUGGAGCCCAAAUUAAAGUUCACAAAGGUCCACUGAACUACGCUAGGUGUUUGUUUUGUUUUGUUUUUUUUUUUUUUUAAAGAUUUAUUUAUUUAUUACAUAUCAGUACACUGUAGCUGUCUUCAGAUACACCAGAAGAGGGCAUCAAUCUGUUUACAGAUGGUUGUGAGCCACCAUGUGGUUGCUGGGAAUUGAACUCAGGACCUCUGGAAGAGCAGUCGGGUGCUCUUAACCGCUGAGCCAUCUCUCCAGCCC